rnacentral:rRNA from 1 species
AGCGAACGCUGGCGGCAGGCCUAACACAUGCAAGUCGAGCGCCGUAGCAAUACGGAGCGGCAGACGGGAGAGUAACACGUGGGAACGUACCCUUUGGUUCGGAACAACCCAGGGAAACUUGGGCUAAUACCGGAUAAGCCCUCACGGGGAAAGAUUCAUCGCCGAAGGAUCGGCCCGCGUCUGAUUAGCUAGUUGGUGGGGUAAUGGCCCACCAAGGCGACGAUCAGUAGCUGGUCUGGGAGGAUGACCAGCCUCACUGGGACUGAGACACGGCCCAGACUCCUACGGGAGGCAGCAGUGGGGAAUAUUGGACAAUGGGCGCAAGCCUGAUCCAGCCAUGCCGCGUGGGUGAUGAAGGCCCUAGGGUUGUAAAGCCCUUUCGGCGGGGAGGAUAAUGACGGUACCCGCAGAAGAAGCCCCGGCUAACUUCGUGCCAGCCGCCGCGGUAAAAC